GGAAAAAUAGUUCUAAUUGGUAAGAAGGAUACUUGCUACGUAUCUGGUGAAUAACCUUGUGAGUUCGAGUCUCACUUUUUCCG
rfam:Schizosaccharomyces pombe complete mitochondrial genome